rnacentral:rRNA from 1 species
UACGUAGGACCCGAGCGUUGUCCGGAUUUACUGGGUGUAAAGGGUGCGCAGGCGGAUCUGUGCGUCGAAGGUUAAAGACCAAGGCUCAACCUUGGGAAUGCCUUUGAUACGGCAGGUCUUGAGUACGAGAGAGGAUAGUAGAAUUCCUGGUGUAGCGGUGAAAUGCGUAGAUAUCAGGAGGAAUACCAGUGGCGAAGGCGGCUAUCUGGCUCGUAACUGACGCUCAGGCACGAAAGCGUGGGGAUCAAACAGG